rnacentral:pre_miRNA from 1 species
CUGUCUCCUGGAGUUCCUCUGAACGCUUCAUAAGGACUAACAACUAGUGUAAUUUCUUUCUCUCUUCAAUGAAGUGUUUGGGGGAACUCUUGGGCUCAA